rnacentral:rRNA from 1 species
UACGUAGGCAGCGAGCGUUGUUCGGAGUUACUGGGCGUAAAGGGUGUGUAGGCGGUUCUCUAAGUUUGGGGUGAAAUCUCCCGGCUCAACCGGGAGGGUGCGCCGAAAACUGGAGGGCUAGAGUGCGGGAAGGGAGAGUAGAAUUCCUGGUGUAGCGGUGAAAUGCGUAGAUAUCAGGAGGAAUACCGGUGGUGCAGACGGCUCUCUGGACCGCGACUGACGCUGAGACACGAAAGCGUGGGUAGCAAACAGG